UGGGGAAUUUUGGACAAUGGGCGAAAGCCUGAUCCAGCAAUGCCGUGUGUGUGAAGAAGGCCUUCGGGUUGUAAAGCACUUUUGUCCGGAAAGAAAUCCUUGGCUCUAAUACAGUCGGGGGAUGACGGUACCGGAAGAAUAAGCACCGGCUAACUACGUGCCAGCAGCCGCGGUAAUACGUAGGGUGCAAGCGUUAAUCGGAAUUACUGGGCGUAAAGCGUGCGCAGGCGGUUUGCUAAGACCGAUGUGAAAUCCCCGGGCUCAACCUGGGAACUGCAUUGGUGACUGGCAGGCUAGAGUAUGGCAGAGGGGGGUAGAAUUCCACGUGUAGCAGUGAAAUGCGUAGAGAUGUGGAGGAAUACCGAUGGCGAAGGCAGCCCCCUGGGCCAAUACUGACGCUCAUGCACGAAAGCGUGGGGAGCAAACAGGAUUAGAUACCCUGGUAGUCCACGCCCUAAACGAUGUCAACUAGUUGUUGGGGAUUCAUUUCCUUAGUAACGUAGCUAACGCGUGAAGUUGACCGCCUGGGGAGUACGGUCGCAAGAUUAAAACUC
rnacentral:rRNA from 1 species